rnacentral:rRNA from 1 species
GACGAACGCUGGCGGCGUGCUUAACACAUGCAAGUCGAACGAUGAAGCUAGAGCUUGCUCUGGUGGAUUAGUGGCGAACGGGUGAGUAACACGUGAGUAACCUGCCCCGAACUCUGGGAUAACUGCUGGAAACGGUAGCUAAUACCGGAUAUGGCCAAUGAAGGCAUCUUCUGUUGGUUGAAAGAAUUUCGGUUCGGGAUGGACUCGCGGGCUAUCAGCUUGUUGGGGAGGUAACGGCUCACCAAGGCGACGACGGGUAGCCGCGCCUGAGCGGGUGAUCGGCCACACUGGGACUGAGACACGGCCCAGACUCGUACGGGAGGCAGCAGUGGGGAAUAUUGCACAAUGGGCGCAAGCCUGAUGCAGCAACGCCGCGUGAGGGACGACGGCCUUCGGGUUGUAAACCUCUUUUAGUAGGGAAGAAGCGAAAGUGACGGUACCUGCAGAAAAAGCACCGGCUAACUACGUGCCAGCCGCCGCCGUAA